CGCCAGGAUCCCGCUGUCCCUUCAUCCUCUAUCAAUCAAACUCCAAGGCGCCAUGGGUAAAAAGAAGUGGAAAGGCUGCCUGCAUCAUUUGGACGCGCUCAGCCACUUCACAGAUGCAGAGACGGAGACCCAGUGCGGAGUCUUAUUCUGUUGCCCAGUGCAGUGGCACAAUCUCGGCUCACUGCAACCUCCACCUCCCGGGUUCAAGGGAUUCUCCUGCCUCAACCUCCCAAAUAGCUGGGACUACAGCUUUAACUUUUGUCCAUCUUCGUAAGACUGAAGUUCUUGGUCAACUGGAUCAACAGAUAAUUCUCCGCUGGCUGUGAUCUCUUUGGAUUUUUGUUGUGUUAUCUUUAUAUAUUAAUAUAUACAGGGUCUCACUCUGUCA